AGCCAGCAACAGAUGCAAUGAGCUUCUCUUCUCCCAUAUACGUUCCAUGGCCCCUGAUGCAAGGCGAAGAUACAAAGAAAGGAUAUGACGAUGAGGAAACUGACCGUGGAGAGGCAAUGCCGCUAAUAAGAUGUGAUGGUAGCAGGACUGGAACCCCAACUGUCUGACUCAAGAGCCUUCCCUCUUAACCACAAUACACUGCACUACACCCCUUAGAUUCAAAAUGUGUAUAAAUGGGUGCAUGCAGCACAAUGUAACUGUUUGCCCUAAGCUCGAACAAUUACGGAUUCUAAACUGAAGAGGAGGCAGCCAAGAACGCCCACCAUCCCCUCAGCUGAAAACUGGAAAAGAGCCUGCGCCUAACCCUCCCCAGCUUUCCAGGUCUCCCACAAGGAAGGAUCAAAGAUUUGGACUUCAGGCAGAAGACCCAAAAGUCACAGCCACCGGAGGUCAGGAGUGGAGGGUUUCAGGGAGCUGAGACAAAUGCAGACGGGGACACACAAGAUGCAGGGAGCAAGAAGCACGAGGCUCGGAAGCGAGGCGAGUAGGAUGCUCAGACGAAGUGCCUUGGGUCCCGCGGGGAGUUACACACACAGGGAUACGAGGCCUGGACCACGUGCAGAGAGCCCUGAAGCCGCUCUCUGAAGCCUCGACUCCCCCAAGUCCCCACGUACCGCAUGAAUCCUGUGUCCGUAGUGAUUGUAUCCCCCGGCACCACUAGAUGUUUCUUAGUGUCGCGGCCUAGUCUCUCGCUAAGAGGCUUGCGAGCCACUGGAAGCCUCAUCUCCAUCGCCAUCUUGGCGCCAAUGAGUUGCGCAGGCGCAGCUCAGUCGGGAGCUGCGAUAUCCGACUCCACAACUCCCGGCCGCGUUCGGAGGGGCGGGGAAAGGCGGGGACUCAGAGCAGCUGCCAAUGAGAACUCACGGCCUAGAGGCCAUGUUUACAAUUGGCAACAACAAGGCGAACCCGAAGGGAAGGGAGCCGAGCUGCCAUGUCUACUAUUGGCAAGGGAGCAGCCGUGGAAUAAUAAAAUCUCACGUUGUGUGGCGUGUGAGUUUUUACCAAAA